UACGGAGAGUGCAAACGUUGUUCGGAUUCACUGGGCGUAAAGGGCACGUAGGCGGCUCGGCAAAUCGGUCGUGGAAUCUCGACGCUUACCGUCGAAACGGCGGCCGAAAAUACCGGGCUCGAGGGCGUGAGGGGUCACUGGAACUCCUGGUGAAGCGGUGAAAUGCGUAGAUAUCAGGAGGAACGCCGGAGGCGAAAGCGAGUGACUGGCGCGUUCCUGACGCUGAGGUGCGAAAGCUAGGGGAGCAAACAGG
rnacentral:rRNA from 2 species